rnacentral:rRNA from 1 species
ACGACGCUGGCGGCGUGCCUAACACAUGCAAGUCGAACGAAGCAUAGCAAUAUGCUUAGUGGCGGACGGGUGAGUAGCGCGUGGGUAAUCUGCCCCCCGGUCAGGAAUAACCCGCCGAAAGGCGGGCUAAUACCCGAUAACACUGACGCUCCGCGGAGCGUCUUUCAAAGGAGGCCUCUGUUUACAAGCUUUCGCCGGAGGAUGAGCCCGCGUACCAUUAGCUAGUUGGCAGGGUAAUGGCCUACCAAGGCUGCGAUGGUUAGCUGGUCUGAGAGGAUGGCCAGCCACACUGGAACUGAGACACGGUCCAGACUCCUACGGGAGGCAGCAGUGAGGAAUCUUGCGCAAUGGGGGAAACCCUGACGCAGCAACGCCGCGUGAGUGAGGAAGGCCUUCGGGUCGUAAAGCUCUGUCAGAUGGGAAGAAAUGGGUGGGGGCUAAUAUCGCCCAUCCUUGACGGUACCAUCAGAGGAAGCACCGGCUAACUCCGUG